UCUGGAGACAGGUGGCUGCAUGGCUGUCGUCAGCUCGUGUCGUGAGAUGUUGGGGUUAAGUCCCGCAACGAGCGCAACCCUUGCCUUUAGUUGCCAGCAGUUCGGCUGGGCACUCUAAAGGGACUGCCGGUGUUAAACCGGAGGAAGGUGGGGAUGACGUCAAGUCCUCAUGGCCUUUAUGACCAGGGCUACACACGUACUACAAUGGCCGAUACAAAGGGCAGCGACACUGCGAGGUGAAGCCAAUCCCGUAAAAUCGGUCUCAGUCCGGAUUGGAGUCUGCAACUCGACUCCAUGAAGUUGGAAUCGCUAGUAAUCGUGGAUCAGCAUGCCACGGUGAAUACGUUCCCGGGCCUU
rnacentral:rRNA from 1 species